rnacentral:lncRNA from 1 species
GGGAUUUGUAGAUAUGAGUGGUAUAAAAUGAGUAUUGACGUUUGUCAGACUAAAGUGAUAAUGUUUGUGUUCCACGAGCGUUUACCAUUUGGAACCACUUGGAACCAUUUCAAACCAACUUCAUGGCAACCUUCGAAGAUAAGGCUUAACACCAGCCGAAGACCACCCUAGGGUGCUGCAGUAAUCAAAUCAGCAAAGGAAAAGCCGGCCGAACAUCAAAAACAUCACGUGGGAAAUCUUAGCUGACUGUCACCAAAGAAGCAGGAGAAGUCGGCCGAACAUCCGUCGACUAGGAGUCCACAACAACGGGAACUCCUGGGAAAGUUCAGUUAAGUCCAUAGUUUUUUUCCUUGGCUUGAGCAUCGAUUCCUGAUUUGCUGAUUUAAAUUUUCAAGUUGUCAAUUAUUAAUUUGGUUGCAUAGUAAGAUAUAAGCAAUAAAAUGUAAUUAAGUAUCUACUAGUUGAAUAAAGAAUAUGUGUUGAAAA